ensembl:lncRNA
GAUGGAUGGAUGGAUGGAUGGACAACAAGAGGACGUUUGAAAAGUACAGGAUAAUGGAAACAUGGAUAAAACGUGGCAUCGAGGAUUGUGCUGGCGUUUAAGUGCUAUACGAAUGCUGCUCUUCCAUCCACGUUCUUCAAAGCUAAAGAUGGACGGAGACCGUAAGUGAUUUAGUCUGAAAAUUUCCCCCGUUUUCUCAGAGGGCCGUGCUCUCCAGCAGAUAGAGAUAUGGCUUCCUGUUACAUAAUCCUCUGCUCUUAUAAAUUUUGACUUCAUUUUGUGUUUCCUGUGUGUGUG